CUUCGGGUGAUUCCCGCAGGGUCCGACUGGUAUCAGAGUGGGACAUGAGCCAUGCGAGUCAACAUAGCAAUAUGUGGCAUACGGCUCAGUAACACGUAGUCAACAUGCCCAGGGGACGUGGAUAACCUCGGGAAACUGAGGAUAAACCGCGAUAGGUCAUCACUUCUGGAAUGGGUAAUGACUUAAAUCUAUAUGGCCCCUGGAUUGGACUGCGGCCGAUCAGGCUGUUGGUGAGGUAAUGGCCCACCAAACCUGUAACCGGUACGGGCUCUGAGAGGAGGAGCCCGGAGAUGGGCACUGAGACAAGGGCCCAGGCCCUAUGGGGCGCAGCAGGCGCGAAACCUCUGCAAUAGGCGAAAGCUUGACAGGGUUACUCUGAGUGAUUUCCGUUAAGGAGAUCUUUUGGCACCUCUAAAAAUGGUGCAGAAUAAGGGGUGGGCAAGUCUGGUGUCAGCCGCCGCGGUAAUACCAGCACCCCGAGUGGUCGGGACGUUUAUUGGGCCUAAAGCAUCCGUAGCCGGUUCUACAAGUCUUCCGUUAAAUCCACCUGCUUAACAGAUGGGCUGCGGAAGAUACUAUAGAGCUAGGAGGCGGGAGAGGCAAGCGGUACUCGAUGGGUAGGGGUAAAAUCCGUUGAUCCAUUGAAGACCACCAGUGGCGAAGGCGGCUUGCCAGAACGCGCUCGACGGUGAGGGAUGAAAGCUGGGGGAGCAAACCGGAUUAGAUACCCGGGUAGUCCCAGCUGUAAACGAUGCAGACUCGGUGAUGAGUUGGCUUAUUGCUAACUCAGUGCCGCAGGGAAGCCGUUAAGUUUGCAAACUGGGGCUUACGGUCGCAAGACUGAAACUUAAAGCAAUAACGGGGGAGCA
rnacentral:rRNA from 1 species